GAUAAACGCUGGCGGCGUGCCUAAUACAUGCAAGUCGAGCGGGAUUGGCAGAUCGUAAGUGAAGCCAGUCUAGCGGCGGACGGCUGAGUAACACGUGGGUGACCUGCCUUGAAGUGGGGAAUAACGGUUCGAAAGAAUCGCUAAUACCGCAUACGACCGCAGCUUCGUUGCUGCGAUGAAAGCCGUAAGGCGCUUUAAGAGGGGCCUGCGUCCGAUUAGCUAGUUGGUGGGGUAAUGGCCUACCAAGGCUCCGAUCGGUAGCUGGUCUGAGAGGAUGAUCAGCCAGACUGGGACUGAGAACGGCCCAGACUCCUACGGGAGGCAG
rnacentral:rRNA from 1 species